UGUAAGCGUAUACCAAAGUUGUUGCAGUUAAAACGCUCGUAGUCGGAAUUUGGCAGUUCCGGAUGUGUGCACGUCGUGUGCGCACUUCGCGGGGAUUGCUUUUGUGGUCUUGCGUAGGAUGAGGCACUUUUAUUAGUGAACGUCCUCACGCAACCACUUUUUACUGUGAGAAAAUCAGAGUGCUCAAAGCAGGCAUUUGCCGUGAAUGUAUUAGCAUGGAAUAAUAGAAUAGGACUUGGUUCUAUUUUGUUGGUUUGUUGGGACUGAGUAAUGAUUAAGAGGGACAGUUGGGGGCAUUUGUAUUUCGGUGCUAGAGGUGAAAUUCUUAGAUUACCGAAAGACAAACUGCUGCGAAAGCGUCUGCUAAGGAUGUUUUCAUUGA
rnacentral:rRNA from 1 species